rnacentral:rRNA from 1 species
UACGGGGGGUGCGAGCGUUGUCCGGAAUCAUUGGGCGUAAAGGGUCCGCAGGUGGCAGUGUAAGUCUGCUGUCAAAGAAUGAGGCUUAACCUCAUCAAGGCAGUGGAAACUACACAGCUAGAGUACGGUCGGGGUAGAAGGAAUUCCUGGUGUAGCGGUGAAAUGCGCAGAUAUCAGGAGGAACACCGGUGGCGAAGGCGGGUCUCUGGGCCGAUACUGACGCUGAGGAGCGAAAGCGUGGGGAGCGAACAGG